ensembl:snRNA U6 U6 spliceosomal RNA
UUGCUUUGGCAGCAUAUUUACUGAAAAAAAAAAAAAAAAGAAAUGAUACGGAGAUUAACAUUGCCCAUGUACAAGGAUGACAUGCAAAUUUGUGAAGCAUUCCAUAUUUGC